AAGGGUUGUUCAGCAUUUUGUAACACUAAUAUUUAUUGAAUGUUUUUAGAUACUGAAGAUACAAAGAUGCGUAUGACACAGUUCCUAUCCUUAAAGAACUCACAGUCGAGUGCAAAGGAAUCAGAAAUACAUGUCCAGGUGAAAUUAGCAGUUAUAAAUUAUUAACUCAUAUCUAGAAAGCCAAUAAUCAGAGUCACUUCUUCCCAAUAGCAUUUCAAUACUUCCAAGCUAAGGUUGACGCUGUUAUAUAAAAAAAUGAAUUCUAUUGAUAGGUACUAGAUACAUUAUUUUCAUUUUCUAUAUGUAAUCAAAAUGCCAAAUCCACUCUAAAUAUUUUCUUGAGUU